rnacentral:rRNA from 1 species
UGGGGAAUAUUGCACAAUGGGCGCAAGCCUGAUGCAGCAACGCCGCGUGGAGGAAGACGGUUUUCGGAUUGUAAACUCCUGUUCUUAGUGAAGAAUAAUGACGGUACCCAACAAGGAAGUGACGGCUAACUACGUGCCAGCAGCCGCGGUAAAACGUAGGUCACAAGCGUUGUCCGGAAUUACUGGGUGUAAAGGGAGCGCAGGCGGGAAGACAAGUUGGAAGUGAAAUCUAUGGGCUCAACCCAUAAACUGCUUUCAAAACUGUUUUUCUUGAGUAGUGCAGAGGUAGGCGGAAUUCCCGGUGUAGCGGUGGAAUGCGUAGAUAUCGGGAGGAACACCAGUGGCGAAGGCGGCCUACUGGGCACCAACUGACGCUGAGGCUCGAAAGUGUGGGUAGCAAACAGGAUUAGAUACCCUGGUAGU